UGGGGAAUAUUGGACAAUGGGCGCAAGCCUGAUCCAGCAAUGCCGCGUGUGUGAAGAAGGCCUUCGGGUUGUAAAGCACUUUUAUCAGGAGCGAAACGCUGUCGGCUAAUACCCGGCGGAACUGACGGUACCUGAGGAAUAAGCACCGGCUAACUUCGUGCCAGCAGCCGCGGUAAUACGAAGGGUGCAAGCGUUAAUCGGAAUUACUGGGCGUAAAGCGUGCGUAGGCGGUUUCUUAAGUCUGCUGUGAAAUCCCCGGGCUCAACCUGGGAAUGGCAGUGGAUACUGGGAGGCUAGAGUGUGUCAGAGGGUGGUGGAAUUCCCGGUGUAGCGGUGAAAUGCGUAGAGAUCGGGAGGAACAUCAGUGGCGAAGGCGGCCACCUGGGACAACACUGACGCUGAGGCACGAAAGCGUGGGGAGCAAACAGGAUUAGAUACCCUGGUAGUCCACGCCCUAAAACGAUGCGAACUGGAUGUUGGUCUCAACUCGGAGAUCAGUGUCGAAGCUAACGCGUUAAGUUCGCCGCCUGGGGAGUACGGUCGCAAGACUGAAACUUAAAUGAAUUGACGGGGUCAUAGCUGUUUCCUG
rnacentral:rRNA from 1 species